AGCUUACGUAUUGUUUUCAAUAUAUUUUACAUAAACACACACAUUUCAAGUUUUAAAUUUAGAAACAAUUUAUCAAAAGUGGACUUCUGCAUCAUAUUUCUCUCGUUAAAUAAAUUGGCUUUGAAAAUGUGGCUUAGAUAAGUUUUUGUUGUAUAGACAUAUCGGCACUUCGAUUGUUGAUAAAUAAUAUAAAUGAUUUAUUUUUUGCUUGUAGAGAAUUAUACGAAAAUCACGAACAAAAGGUGAAUGAAAAUACAAGCGAAACAGUUAACUUGUUUCGAAUUCGUCAAGUGCGAGUAUUUUGAGCACGCCUUCUUUGAUUCGAAUCGAAACUCAAGUAGCCAAGUAUUGGCCGGGCCAAAAGCUUUCCCUUCACUUUUGCUUUUCGCUGGCAUUGCACUUUGUCAACACUUUUGGCCACUUGAGCAUGAGAAUUGUUUGGCCAGCAACACAUGGGGAUGUAGCUCAGAUGGUAGAGCGCUCGCUUAGCAUGUGAGAGGUACGGGGAUCGAUGCCCCGCAUCUCCAAGUUGUACAAUAUCCAGGAAAAUGGAAUUUUUUGCUACCGCCGAUAGACGAAACAAAUACGCAGACGUCUGCAUUUUUGAUAGUCAAGAAGCAGGCGCAUUAAUGAAUAUUCAAAGGUCGCUUUGUAACUGCCAAACGACUUUGGCAUUAGAUGCUGCCUACCAGACUGCACGCCCCCGUGCGGCGCCCUCAUGUCGACAAUCAGGUCGCGUAAUUUGAUUUGGUGCUCAUUCCAAAGGGCGGUGCGGGCAACACACGGAGAACAGAACGAACACAUUGUCGCACAUAAAUCAGGCACAAUAUGCCAAUGUUUGUUUACUCGCCUGCAUUCGCAGAACUUUGCCAGCAAUUAAACAAGCAGCCAAAGCCAGAAACAUGGUCCCAGGACGAACAGCAGUAUGGGGGAGAAGGCGGUUGGCUGCCACAGGCAGCCGCAGGCGACAGCACACAGGAAACAGAGUAAACUCAGGGGUCCACGGAAAGGACAGGUUUGGGUAUUGACAAACUUUUCUUCCCUGACGACUGCUAAGCUAAGCUAGUUAAGCUGUUGCUGUCCUCUUCUCAAAAUUUAUGUGUUUUGCUAUUUUUUUUUAAUUGUUUUAAGUGUUUUGUUAUGUUGUGGAUGUUUUCUUUUUAUUAUU